GGGUUGUGAGGUUAAGCGACUAAGCGUACACGGUGGAUGCCCUGGCAGUCAGAGGCGAUGAAGGACGUGCUAAUCUGCGAUAAGCGUCGGUAAGGUGAUAUGAACCGUUAUAACCGGCGAUUUCCGAAUGGGGAAACCCAGUGUGUUUCGACACACUAUCAUUAACUGAAUCCAUAGGUUAAUGAGGCGAACCGGGGGAACUGAAACAUCUAAGUACCCCGAGGAAAAGAAAUCAACCGAGAUUCCCCCAGUAGCGGCGAGCGAACGGGGAGGAGCCCAGAGCCUGAAUCAGUGUGUGUGUUAGUGGAAGCGUCUGGAAAGGCGCGCGAUACAGGGUGACAGCCCCGUACACAAAAAUGCACAUGCUGUGAGCUCGAUGAGUAGGGCGGGACACGUGGUAUCCUGUCUGAAUAUGGGGGGACCAUCCUCCAAGGCUAAAUACUCCUGACUGACCGAUAGUGAACCAGUACCGUGAGGGAAAGGCGAAAAGAACCCCGGCGAGGGGAGUGAAAAAGAACCUGAAACCGUGUACGUACAAGCAGUGGGAGCACGCUUAGGCGUGUGACUGCGUACCUUUUGUAUAAUGGGUCAGCGACUUAUAUUCUGUAGCAAGGUUAACCGAAUAGGGGAGCCGAAGGGAAACCGAGUCUUAACUGGGCGUUAAGUUGCAGGGUAUAGACCCGAAACCCGGUGAUCUAGCCAUGGGCAGGUUGAAGGUUGGGUAACACUAACUGGAGGACCGAACCGACUAAUGUUGAAAAAUUAGCGGAUGACUUGUGGCUGGGGGUGAAAGGCCAAUCAAACCGGGAGAUAGCUGGUUCUCCCCGAAAGCUAUUUAGGUAGCGCCUCGUGAACUCAUCUCCGGGGGUAGAGCACUGUUUCGGCAAGGGGGUCAUCCCGACUUACCAACCCGAUGCAAACUGCGAAUACCGGAGAAUGUUAUCACGGGAGACACACGGCGGGUGCUAACGUCCGUCGUGAAGAGGGAAACAACCCAGACCGCCAGCUAAGGUCCCAAAGUCAUGGUUAAGUGGGAAACGAUGUGGGAAGGCCCAGACAGCCAGGAUGUUGGCUUAGAAGCAGCCAUCAUUUAAAGAAAGCGUAAUAGCUCACUGGUCGAGUCGGCCUGCGCGGAAGAUGUAACGGGGCUAAACCAUGCACCGAAGCUGCGGCAGCGACGCUGAUGCGUUGUUGGGUAGGGGAGCGUUCUGUAAGCCUGUGAAGGUGU
rnacentral:rRNA from 1 species